ACAGACCUACGGGAGGCAGCAGUGGGGAAUAUUGCACAAUGGGGGAAACCCUGAUGCAGCAACGCCGCGUGAAGGAAGACGGGUUUCGGAUUGUAAACUUCUUUUCUUAGUGAAGAAGCAAGUGACGGUAGCUAAGGAAUAAGCAUCGGCUAACUACGUGCCAGCAGCCGCGGUAAUACGUAGGAUGCGAGCGUUAUCCGGAAUUACUGGGUGUAAAGGGAGCGCAGGCGGAAAUGCAAGGUGGAUGUGAAA
rnacentral:rRNA from 1 species